rnacentral:rRNA from 1 species
AUGUCUAAGUAUAAGCAAUUAUACGGCGAAACUGCGAAUGGCUCAUUAAAUCAGUUAUCGUUUAUUUGAUAGUACCUUACUACUUGGAUAACCGUGGUAAUUCUAGAGCUAAUACAUGCUAAAAACCCCGACUUCGGAAGGGGUGUAUUUAUUAGAUUAAAAACCAAUGCCCUUCGGGGCUCACUGGUGAUUCAUGAUAACUUCUCGAAUCGCACGGCCUUGCGCCGGCGAUGGUUCAUUCAAAUUUCUGCCCUAUCAACUUUCGACGGCUGGGUCUUGGCCAGCCGUGGUGACAACGGGUAACGGAGGGUUAGGGCUCGACCCCGGAGAAAACGCCUGAGAAACGGCGUUUACAUCCAAGGAAGGCAGCAGGCGCGCAAAUUACCCAAUGCCGACUCGGCGAGGUAGUGACGAUAAAUACUGAUACAGGGCUCUUUUGGGUCUUGUAAUUGGAAUGAGUACAAUUUAAAUCCCUUAACGAGGAACAAUUGGAGGGCAAGUCUGGUGCCAGCAGCCGCGGUAAUUCCAGCUCCAAUAGCGUAUAUUAACAUUGCUGAGGUUAAAAAGCUCGUAGUUGAACCUUGGGCCUGGCUGGCCGGUCCGCCUCACCGCGUGCACUGGUCCGGCCGGGCCUUUCCCUCUGGGGAUCCCCAUGCCCUUCACUGGGCGUGGCGGGGAACCGGGACUUUUACUUUGAAAAAAUUAGAGUGUUCAAAGCAGGCCUAUGCUCGAAUACAUUAGCAUGGAAUAAUAGAAUAGGACGUGCGGUUCUAUUUUGUUGGUUUCUAGGACCGCCGUAAUGAUUAAUAGGGACAGUCGGGGGCGUCAGUAUUCAAUUGUCAGAGGUGAAAUUCUUGGAUUUAUUGAAGACUAACUACUGCGAAGGCAUUCGCCAAGGAUGUUUUCAUUAAUCAGGAACGAAAGUUAGGGGAUCGAAGACGAUCAGAUACCGUCGUAGUCUUAACCGUAAACUAUGCCUGUUAGGGAUCGGACGGUGUUAUUUUUUGACCCGUCCGGCACCUUACACGAAAGUACAAGUUUCU